UGUGUACACGAUCAUAGCUUACACAUAAUUGAAACAAAGCAAAUAAGUAAAUUUCUCCAAUUUCCACUCGGCUCCUAUCUCCAUAUGAAUACAAGUGGCUAUGUACGUUGCCCAGUUGAACACCAUUCCUUCCAACACUCCUACCACUGCAUACAAUAACCAUUUGGACAUAUAUGUGAGGUAUUGAUACAAUCCUAAUUGCCUCACCACAAAACGAAACUAUUCCACGAGUUCUAGUGAAAUUGCCUCAGCAGUCUACCAACCUUGGCUCCUCUCAAAGGCCGACAUACCUCCCUUCAAAUAUCUUCCUAGACUAAAGUCGCUUGACUCAUCAGCUCUUAUCGUAAUUUCUCCAAUGGGAAGACACAACACCUUUUCCAGGAUUGUUCCAUCAAUCUCGAUAAUUCACCCUUGUACCACACUCAAUCCAUCCUCCAGGUCAUAGUUUGCAAUAUAUUCCUCUACUAAUGACACAUUAAUUAAUGGUAAGCGAUCUAACAGGUGUAAAAACUGGAACAACUGUGCAUUCUAAAAGUCUUUUAUUCUUUUUGGUGUCCAACAGAUAUUCAACUUCAUCACCUCUAUAUUGAUAACGAUUAUCACAAAAGGUGGUUUUGAUGCACAUCUAGCUCUCACGUUUUGGCCACUAUCUUAUUUAUCUAUAACUUGCUUUGCAAUUUCAAUUGCCAUGACGCUCCCUCUCUCAAACUCUCAACUGGAACUACUACACUCGAAAAUGUAAGAAACAUAAGGAAUAGCAAUCUCAGAUAAAAACCAAGAACGACAAACCAUAAUGACCUCUAACUGGUGCUCCACUCCUAUUCUCUUACUACCGGUGAUCAUGACAAUAUGUUACCCAUACUGUCCAUUUCUCACCUCCGUCCCAUUUGACACAUUAAUAAUUACUAACUAUCCUUUCAGUCGCCUCUACAACCUAACGUACUUAUACCAUAUUUAGGUCUACUUUGUGUCCAUUCGAAGUCACCCCUCCAAAAAAAAUGGAAAUCCGUCUUAGAUUUUAUAUAUUAUAUAACCAUAAUCUUUCAUUAUAUACUAUGAUUGCUCGUUUUACUUAUUCUGGAAGAAACCUCCCAGAAUAAAUGCGUAUAGGGAGAUUCAAACACGGAGAAUGACCAUGUAUAUGAGCUCCAAUUGUUAGGGUCAUGUAAUUAAUUGCUAUUGCUGAAUGCUUACCAUACCGAAGAACACUUAACUUUUCCUCCUACUGUCCACUCUCUCAUAUCAAUACAAUAACAUCCACAACAACGAUUUCAGUACCCUGUGUAAUUCACAAACACAUAAGCAUAUCUCAAACCCUAGAACAAACAACUUCCAAUCCACAAAAUCUAAUCAAGACAAUUCUUUUGAUUACAAUUCCUCUCCUCUAAACUUACAACCUUGCGAUAAACAAUGAUUGGAAACUUCCAUACAUCCUCAAUCUUUUACAACAAUUGAUAAACAAUGAUCCAUAAAUAACUUCGUAAAUCAAAUAUUAAUUCAUUAAAUCGAUUCUCUUCACUAGAAUCAAUACUAACACAAAAGAAACAAGAAAACUAAAAAGAAGAGAUAGCACCAAGCUUAUCCCAGGCUCAGUACUAUCGCAGUCUGGCCCUUGGCUCACAACUCUCAUAGUCUGGCAUUUUCUUCCCCUCUCCCAUCCUCCUUACACUACCUAGAGAUACCAACUCCUAUACUACAGAUGAUAACUACUUUUCCUGACUAUUCAUCCAUUCUACCUGCUGAACCACCUUUUCAGCAGUUAUCUAUCCCUGUUUAUACUAUAUACUAGAUAUCUAUAUUCUAAAAAUAACUACUUAUUCUACAUAUACUAUUGAAUUUACUUCCUAUUUUCCAUCUACUUAUCCGAUAAUUAAUUCCUAAUAUUCAAUGCUAUUGUCAAUCCCUGGCAACGGUGCUAAAAAUGUAAUUUUCAUUUUACUUAUUCUACAAUUCCUUCCAAAAUAAACCUUUAUAGGGGAAUUCAAACACAUGAAAAGACUAAGCACAUGAGUUUUACUUGUUAGGGUUAUACAAUUAAUUAUAUUCUGAACCACUAAAACACUAAAAAAUACUAUAAUGCUUCAUCCUAGUAACAAUAUUCCUUCAUCAACUGAUAACCACAAUGUGCAA
rnacentral:lncRNA from 1 species